GAGAGACCCCUAUGGAGCAGGACUUGCUUCAGUGGGGUUUUGGUUUUCACUGAGCCUGCUCCUUGAGUGUGUCACU
rnacentral:pre_miRNA from 1 species